AGUGAACGCUGGCGGUAGGCCUAACACAUGCAAGUCGAACGGUAGCACAGUAAGAGCUUGCUCUUACGGGUGGCGAGUGGCGGACGGGUGAGGAAUACAUCGGAAUCUACUUUUUCGUGGGGGAUAACGUAGGGAAACUUACGCUAAUACCGCAUACGACCUACGGGUGAAAGCAGGGGAUCUUCGGACCUUGCGCGAUUGAAUGCGCCGAUGUCGGAUUAGCUAGUUGGCGGGGUAAAGGCCCACCAAGGCGACGAUCCGUAGCUGGUCUGAGAGGAUGGUCAGCCACACUAGAACUGAGACACGGUCCAGACUCCUACGGGAGGCAGCAGUGGGGAAUAUUGGACAAUGGGCGCAAGCCUGAUCCAGCCAUACCACGUGGGUGAAGAAGGCCUUCGGGUUGUAAAGCCCUUUUGUUGGGAAAGAAAAGCAGCAGGUUAAUACCCCGCUGUUCUGACGGUACCCAAAGAAUAAGCACCGGCUAACUUCGUG
rnacentral:rRNA from 1 species